UACGUAGGUGGCAAGCGUUGUCCGGAUUUACUGGGCGUAAAGGGAGCGUAGGCGGACUUUUGAGUGAGAUGUGAACUACCCGGGCUCAACCUGGGUGCUGCAUUUCAAACUGGAAGUCUAGAGUGCAGGAGAGGAGAAUGGAAUUCCUAGUGUAGCGGUGAAAUGCGUAGAGAUUAGGAAGAACACCAGUGGCGAAGGCGAUUCUCUGGACUGUAACUGACGCUGAGGCUCAGAAGCGUGGGGAGCAAAGAGG
rnacentral:rRNA from 1 species